ACUGAAUAGAUACCCUGGUAGUCCGCACCGUAAACGAUGAUCACUUGGUGUUGGAGGUAUUGACCCCUUCAGUGCCGAAAGCUAACGCGUUAAGUGAUCCGCCUGGGAAGUACGGUCGCAAGAUUAAAACUCAAAGAAAUUGACGGGGGCCCGCACAAGCAGUGGAGCAUGUGGUUCAAUUCGAUGCAACGCGAAAAACCUUACCUGGGUUUGAAGUGCUAGUGAAUGUGGUAGAGAUAUCACAGGCCUUCGGUACGACUAGUAUCAGGUGCUGCAUGGCUGUCGUCAGCUCGUGUCGUGAGAUGUCGGG
rnacentral:rRNA from 1 species